AACGAACGCUGGCGGCAUGCCUAACACAUGCAAGUCGAACGAUGCCUUCGGGCAUAGUGGCGCACGGGUGCGUAACGCGUGGGAAUCUGCCCUUGGGUUCGGAAUAACUCAGAGAAAUUUGAGCUAAUACCGGAUGAUGACGUAAGUCCAAAGAUUUAUCGCCCAAGGAUGAGCCCGCGUAAGAUUAGCUAGUUGGUGGGGUAAAGGCCUACCAAGGCGACGAUCUUUAGCUGGUCUGAGAGGAUGAUCAGCCACACUGGGACGUGAGACACGGCCCAGACUCCUACGGGAGGCAGCAGU
rnacentral:rRNA from 1 species